GACGAACGCUGGCGGCGUGCUUAACACAUGCAAGUCGAACGGAAAGGCCCUGCUUUUGUGGGGUGCUCGAGUGGCGAACGGGUGAGUAACACGUGAGUAACCUGCCCUUGACUUUGGGAUAACUUCAGGAAACUGGGGCUAAUACCGGAUAGGAGCUCCUGCUGCAUGGUGGGGGUUGGAAAGUUUCGGCGGUUGGGGAUGGACUCGCGGCUUAUCAGCUUGUUGGUGGGGUAGUGGCUUACCAAGGCUUUGACGGGUAGCCGGCCUGAGAGGGUGACCGGCCACAUUGGGACUGAGAUACGGCCCAGACUCCUACGGGAGGCAGCAGUGGGGAAUAUUGCACAAUGGGCGGAAGCCUGAUGCAGCAACGCCGCGUGCGGGAUGACGGCCUUCGGGUUGUAAACCGCUUUCGCCUGUGACGAAGCGUGAGUGACGGUAAUGGGUAAAGAAGCACCGGCUAACUACGUGCCAGCAGCCGCGGUGAUACGUAGGGUGCGAGCGUUGUCCGGAUUUAUUGGGCGUAAAGGGCUCGUAGGUGGUUGAUCGCGUCGGAAGUGUAAUCUUGGGGCUUAACCCUGAGCGUGCUUUCGAUACGGGUUGACUUGAGGAAGGUAGGGGAGAAUGGAAUUCCUGGUGGAGCGGUGGAAUGCGCAGAUAUCAGGAGGAACGCCAGUGGCGAAGGCGGUUCUCUGGGCCUUUCCUGACGCUGAGGAGCGAAAGCGUGGGGAGCGAACAGGCUUAGAUACCCUGGUAGUCCACGCUGUAAACGGUGGGUACUAGGUGUGGGGUCCAUUCCACGGGUUCCGUGCCGUAGCUAACGCUUUAAGUACCCCGCCUGGGGAGUACGGCCGCAAGGCUAAAACUCAAAGGAAUUGACGGGGCCCCGCACAAGCGGCGGAGCAUGCAGAUUAAUUCGAUGCAACGCGUAGAACCUUACCUGGGUUUGACAUGGAUCGGGAGUGCUCAGAGAUGGGUGUGCCUCUUUUGGGGUCGGUUCACAGGUGGUGCAUGGCUGUCGUCAGCUCGUGUCGUGAGAUGUUGGGUUAAGUCCCGCAACGAGCGCAACCCUUGUUCACUGUUGCCAGCACGUUAUGGUGGGGACUCAGUGGAGACCGCCGGGGUCAACUCGGAGGAAGGUGGGGAUGGCGUCAAGUCAUCAUGCCCCUUAUGUCCAGGGCUUCACGCAUGCUACAAUGGCUGGUACAGAGAGUGGCGAGCCUGUGAGGGUGAGCGAAUCUCGGAAAGCCGGUCUCAGUUCGGAUUGGGGUCUGCAACUCGACCUCAUGAAGUCGGAGUCGCUAGUAAUCGCAGAUCAGCAACGCUGCGGUGAAUACGUUCCCGGGGC
rnacentral:rRNA from 1 species